rnacentral:rRNA from 1 species
AUUGAACGCUGGCGGCAGGCUUAACACAUGCAAGUCGAGCGAGCGGCGGACGGGUGAGUAAUGUCUGGGAAACUGCCUGAUGGAGGGGGAUAACUACUGGAAACGGUAGCUAAUACCGCAUACCAUCAGAUGUGCCCAGAUGGGAUUAGCUAGUAGGUGGGGUAAUGGCUCACCUAGGCGACGAUCCCUAGCUGGUCUGAGAGGAUGACCGGCCAAACGGGAACGGAGACAGGGUCCAGACUCCUAGGGGAGGAAGCGGUGGGAAGUAUUGCACAAUGGGCGAAAGCCGGAUGCAGCCAUGCCGCGUGUGUGAAGAGGGCCUUCGGGUUGUAAAGCACUUUGCGCGAGGAGGCGUUACUCGCAGAAGAAGCACCGGCUAACUCCGUGCCAGCAGCCGCGGUAAUUC